UUAAAUUUUAAUGAAAUGUUAAUUUAUUCGCGCCAAAACGCAGUCACCGACGUUGACAUUUGCUGUGACGUCAAUCCUUAGCAAACUUGUAAACAUUAGAGUCGAGUAACAAAUAAAACAUAUUAAAUAUUAUUUUAAUAUGAAUUCUAAAGGAUAUAAGUGGUGUGCGGUCCCGCAGUGCACUAAUACGUCAAUAAAAACCCCUAACAAAGUGUUUAUUUACGUGCCAAACGAUAAAACGAUGUGAUAUAAGUGGCUAACUCUUGCACGGCGAGAUUCUAAAGCUGUUCGUCUUGAUACAUCUAUUUAUUUCUGCGUAGAUCAUUUUGACUUGCCACAUGAUAUGGAUAAUUAUAUGGAAUAUCACAUAAUGGGUUCUGUGUCGAAAAUUCGAAUGAAACCAGGGUGUAUACCCACUAAAUUUGAAUGCCAAGCAGAUAGGAGAAAACGAGCAUCUGAUAUGACCGAACGACCAUAUACUGUAAAAAAGCAAAGACAGGAAUUAAUUCAAGAUUCUAUAAAAGAUCUGGAAGAUAAAAGUAUUGUAAAUAAAGCUAUAGAGUUUGGAGAGACAUCAUCAAGUUCCGGUACCAAUCAAUUUUGAAUCUGUGCAUGGAAAUACAGAAAGUAUUACACAAGAGAAAAAUAAGUCUGCAAAUAAAUCCAUCCAAGUUUACAUCACACACAAAUUCAGGAGCAAAGGAGCAAAUUAGAACCUAUGAUUAUUUAACCUCUUUUUGUAUGAUCAUAAUUAAAUAGGAAAAAAUAAAAGCACUAAUUAAC
rnacentral:lncRNA from 1 species